GACGAACGCUGGCGGCGUGCUUAACACAUGCCAGUCGAACGGAAAGGCCCUGCUUUUGUGGGGUGCUCGAGUGGCGAACGGGUGAGUAACACGUGAGUAACCUGCCCUUGACUGUGGGAUAACUUCUGGAAACUGGGGCUAAUACCGGCUAGGAGCUCCUGCUGCCUGGUGGGGGGUGGAAAGUUUCGGCGGUUGGGGAUGGACUCGCGGCUUAUCAGCUUGUUGGUGGGGUAGUGGCUUACCAAGGCUUUGACGGAUAGCCGGCCUGAGAGGGUGACCGGCCACAUUGGGACUGAGAUACGGCCCAGACGCCUACGGGAGGCAGCAGUGGGGAAUAUUGCGCAAUGGGGGGAAGCCUGAUGCAGCAACGCCGCGUGCGGGAUGACGGCCUUCGGGUUGUAAACCGAUUUCGCCUGUGACGAAGCGUGAGUGACGGUAAUGGGUAAAGAAGCACCGGCUAACUACGUG
rnacentral:rRNA from 1 species